rnacentral:rRNA from 1 species
UUAAUUGAAGAGUUUGAUCAUGGCUCAGAUUGAACGCUGGCGGCAGGCCUAACACAUGCAAGUCGAGCGGCAGCACAGAGGAACUUGUUCCUUGGGUGGCGAGCGGCGGACGGGUGAGUAAUGCCUGGGAAAUUGCCCGGUAGAGGGGGAUAACCAUUGGAAACGAUGGCUAAUACCGCAUAACCUCGCAAGAGCAAAGCAGGGGACCUUAGGGCCUUGCGCUACCGGAUAUGCCCAGGUGGGAUUAGCUAGUUGGUGAGGUA